rnacentral:lncRNA from 1 species
GAUUUACUUAUUUAUUUAUUUUUGAGGCAUUAAGCCCAACACAAGGUCAGAUUAAUAUUUUUUUCUGCCUACGUGAGUGAGAUGAAACAUCUAUUCUUUUCUCAAUGUUGUGACACUUGGCCUACAUGCAGCCAAAUUUCAGCCACAUUUCAACCAUUGUUUUAAGAUUUAAUCAUCAAUCCUAGUUAAUGACUGCAGCCUUCAUUUUCACCUCACCACACACCUUCACUUUCACCUCACCACACAGACCACUUAUGCUUCAGCUUAUGCUCCAGCUUUCAGGUAAAUUUCUCUACUCUACAGUCAUAUGCUAUUCUCAUCUCCUUCACUUCUUGAACAUAGACUCACACAGUACAACUCUAAGACACAUACUUUUCCAUGACUUAUUCACAAUGAGAACUCACAUACCAAUUCAUAGAAUGAGAGAAGAAGGAUCAGUUCAAAACAAAAACAAUUGACAGCUUUCAUUAAGAAAUUUCAUAAACAAAUCACUCAAAAUCAAAUCUUUUCAAAUCUGAGAAUCUUCCUUUUGUUGCCUUGUUGAGUGUGAGAGACGAGAGGGAGACGAAUGCGGGCUGUCCGAGCUCGACGCCGAGCUGUCAAAGCCGCGGCUGCCGGCGCUGCAUGCGUUGCAGCAGCCCGCCGGCCACCCACGGCCAAGACAGACGGGGUCGGAGCGAGGCGGCGUCGGGGGCGAGGCCGGGGCGGCGCGGCCGAAGGCCGAGCGCCGCUGACGCGGCAUGAAUGGAGCAGCAGCGGCGGCGGCCCUCCUUGGCUGUCUGCUACCGGAAACGAGAGAAGGAAGGCGAUGAGUGAGGGAGGCCUUGGAUCUGGCGAUUCUCGCCGGGGUGGAGCAGGCGGCGGCGGCGGAUCUGUGGAGGGAGAAGAGGUGGUGGUUUUGAGAGAGAGGGGAAAGGAGAAGUUUUAGAGAGAGAGAAGAGGCGGAUGGGAGGUGGUGAGAGAGGGAAGACCGGAGGUGGUUUGCGGCGAUGAUUCCGCCGGAUUUGGAGCGGCGGCGGCAGAAGCCGAUGGCCGUCCGGCCAAGAGAGAAAGAGAGAGAUAGAGAGAGGAGGAGGGGGCGUGAGGCGGCUGACGGCGAGUCUCGCUGGAGUGGCUGCGGCGGCGACGGCGGCGGCGCGACUGGACUGGAAUGGAGGUCGAUUGAGCGAGAGAGAAAGAGAGAGAGAGGCGUGAGUAGAGAGAGAGCCGAUGGGAGGGGGAGUUGAAGAGAGAGAGAGAAAAUUGUUUCCUUUUCCUUUAAUUUUAGGGCUUAUUCCUUUUAAAAAUUUGGACUCUUAUUUUGGGCUCCUUAAAAUUUGAUUGGGCCGAUUUUUAAUAUAAGCACUGGACCGAUUUUAAUCAUUUAAAUGGGCUUCACAUUUUUUUUAGAUUGUUUUUGGGCUGCUUUAUUUAUAACAAGCCUUUAAAUUAUUAUCUUGGACUUUAACUAUUAUCUUGAACCUGAAAAUAGUUUAAUAAUAAAUUAUUAAUUUUUCUCCCAAUAUUAAAGUUUUAUAUUUUCUUUAAAUUAUUCACUAUUUAUAAAUUUAGUGGUAGUUAUAUUUAUUAAGUUAUUAAUUAUGUAUUAAAAGAUUAUGGAUUCACAGAGAUUAUUAAUUCGGGCAAAGUGUAUCAAUAGUUAGUGAUUUUCCCUUCUUUAUUUAGAAGUUAGAAUAGUACCAAGAGACCUAUUAAGAAUAGAUUUCUUGUAGGCCUUGAGGACCAGGAGGUUUAGCACUGCUUUCCCGUGACGGGUUUACGAUUAAACUACAGGCUUUGCCUAUUCAGGUGGGUUUUAUUUUUCAUACAAUGUAUCUUGAGUUAUAUAAGCUCUGAUAUUUCAUGAAAAUUAUCUGUUUAUCCAAUAUAAAUGUUUUUAUGUGCGUUCUGUAAUUGUUUAAGGCUCACUUAAGCAUCGAUCGAGAUUCUCAUUUGGCCUAACACGCUAAAUGAGGAUUGUGUACACAAGGUUAGUGACCCGAUGGGUUGAUCGCCAUCGUGCACUAACAGAUUAGAACGUUAUAAGGGUGGGUGCUUGACAGGAGGUUAUCCGGAGCACGGUGCUUGACAGGAGGUUAUCCGGAGCACAAUUAAGACUAUUGAUUCUGACCGGGUGCGUCCCGAGAUCAAUAACAGAAUUUUGGAUCUGACUGGGCGUGUCCCGGGAUCAGUGAAUGUGGGGAGAAAGUGAGUAACAAUCGAACGUACAUGGCGCGCCACUUAAUGAAGAAAAGUUUUGUCAUGCUUAGAAGUGGAUUUCUGUUUUUAAACCUUCUGAGUUAUGAUUGUGAUAUUGGAUAAACUACUUCGAUUAUUUCUUAAAAUAUUUCAAAAACUCGUGCCCACUGAGUACAUUAGUACUCAGCCCAAAUUAUUUUCAAAUAUUUUCAGGUUGAUCGGCUGGUGCAGACGGGGCUGAGCUGAGGCUGGGUACCACAAUGUCUUUUGCUUCCGCUAACGACUAGCUUGUCAUUUCGUCUGUUAAUUCUCUAAACUUAGAAUUUCUAUUAUGUGGUACAAUAUUAUCUUAUUGGACUUACACUCUUAUCCUAUAUUUCUAUUAAUAAAGCUAUCUUUGAUUAUGAUCAGAGUCACGAAACUAAACUUAUGUGAUCCUGAGUUGGAAUAUUGUCAUUUGAUUGGCAACUGUUAAGGCCUUUCAAUUUACCUCCUUUCAUUUUAUCUCCUUGGAAU